CCGGGUGGUGAGGCUUCAGUGACUGUGACCUCUGCUCAGGGCCUCCUGUGUGCCAGUCCCUAGGCACACACGUGUGUACCUUGCCUCACAGGUGAGGAAGCCGAGGCCCAGAGAUGAAGUGAUGUGUCCGCCUAGCAAGAAGCGAGGUCAGGGUCCGAACUGAGACCUGUGCCCGUAACCAGUGAUGGCAGGAACACGGUGUGGUGUGGCCCCUGCGGGUCCAUAGCCUCAGUAAAAUCAAACCACCAACCUCAGCGUGGAGGUUUCCAGCCUAGCGCUGGUGCUGACCAGCCCGGAAUGGGCUCCCUUUGUGAGGUGGCCCUGAGAGUUGGCAGCAGGUUCCGUCCUUCUGCCGGGGGAGGGGCGGGCAGAAGCCUGGAGCAGGGACCCAAGUCGAAGAUGGUUCUCGCCAUGCUGGGGGCUCUGUACCCCAGGGCCGCGCCGAGCCGCCUCCUCCUCAGCCUCAUCCUGGUGGCUGCACUCCUCCGCCCCGAGCCGCUAAGGCCUCAGCUAUCUGUUCCUGAGGAAUUUUCAGCCCCCCUGGAACUCUCGGAGCCACUUUCUGGCCUGGUGGACGACUACGGGGUGCGACCCAAGCACCCAUGGCCACGAGGGCCUCGCCCCCUUCUCUCCCGGGCCCAGCAGCGCAAGCGGGACGGGCUGGACAUGGCUGAUGUUUCCUCAGUGAGAUUUCAACUGAAGAAAGGGCCCAGCAACUAAGAAGUUUGGACCUCAAGACCACCCAGCCCUCUCUCCAGGCCACUGUGACCCAAGGACGCCAUGCCGAGCGCCGAGGAGGACUGAGGGAUGCUGCCGAGCAUGGGGAACGUGCUCGGGGCCUGAGACCGGGGCUGGCUACAGGGCUGGGUGCUUGGCAGGGCACACACACAUACCCCACGGAUUCUGCCAGGGCUUUGGUGGAUUCUUCAGACACAAAGACAUGGCAGGCAAACCGGUGGUCAGCAGGGUGCUUGGUGAUGAACCCAAAAUACCUGUGGGAGGACAGCAGUCUGUCUGGGCGGGACGGCGACUCAGAACCCUCAGGCACACGCGUGGACCCACACCCUGAACCACCACCCGCGCCUUGACCUCUUCCCCGUCGUGUUCUUACUUGUUGUUCUUUGGAUGGUAUCCGCAGAAAGAGAUGUUUUUUAACUGGAAAAAGUGGCUACAUUUAUUCCCCUACAGGAGGGAGGAGAGAAGAGAGUGGUCAUCAGCCUGCCAGGGGCACAGGUUGGAGGUCUGGCGGGAGAGCGGGGCCAGGCCGGGGCAGUCACCUUGGCCUCCUGGGAGUCGUCAGCCUUGACACCUAUCUUCACGCCCCGCACGCUGAUCUCUAGGACGCAGCUGGAGGGCGGGUUAAAGUGCACGGGAACCUGGACUGAGCCCAGGAACUUCACCCGGAACUGGUCCACCCAGUCGCUGUUUUUGGUCAGGGCUGGAAAGCAAGCAUGGAGUGAGGAGUGGCAGACCCAGCAGAGGAUGCACCGCCCAGGGCUGCCCCGACUGGGCUGGGCCUCACUUUUCUCGAUUGUGAAAUGGACCUGAAGUCACCACUGCCCGGCCCCCUCCCUGGGUGGUUGAGAUCUGAAGCACAGGUCCGCCCGGCAGCAAACGGGGGCAGGGCAGACGGGGGGCCCAGUGGCACUAGGUGGGGGGAAGGAACACUACCUGCCAUAUGUUCAGGCUCCUUGGUGACCUCGAUGGCAUAGUAGGCAGGAAAGAUGCCCCGGGCACCCGUGCGCAUGUUGUAGGCCUCAUACCAGUAGUCCUCAGCCUGCAACUCCACCAGCAGAGGGUCAUCCACUUCCAGCUCAAGUUCGUCUUCAUGUCGAGGCACAAACCUGUCCCCAACAAGGGCCUGUGAGGAAUCCACCACCCAGGCCCCUCCAGCCAGCCAUCUACUCCCCACCCUGCUCUGGGGUCAGGGGGUUGCGUCGGCAUCGGCAUCGCUGGUUCAAUAAACGUU